rnacentral:lncRNA from 1 species
GGAUUUCCGGGCACGGCUUCUGGCGUCCUUCCCCCUCAGGCCAGUUCCAGCAGUCCUUCCCGCAGUUGGCCCCGUGGUGUCCCAAAGCCGGAUGCAUACGACAUGAGAGCCGGGCGACCCUGAGGCUGUUUGUCCUGCUGAAAAGCACGUGUAUUUUCUGUUUCUCUGGACAGAGCAUGAGAGUCUCAGAAAUGAACCAGAAAUCCUACAGCGAAGAUCUGGGUGAAACCAGGGGCCCAAAGGUCACAUCAAGAGUCUUCCAACUCUUUUCCACUUUUGCAAGGGAUAGAAGGUAAAACGAAGCUGAGAAGGUGAAAAUCCACCAUCUCAAUCCGUCACGCUGAGGGGAGAAGAACUGAAAAGCCAGCUCCCGACUUAAUGGAAAUCAAUAUUUCUGCCAAUGUCUGAGCACAGAUAUAAAGGGUCACAAAAAUUAUCAUCUCCAUGACUUCUGCUUUCUUACUCACUGACAAACUUUAUGGUCUAAAAUUAUAAACAGAGUAUUUGCUGUUUGAAAUGUUAUCAGUGAAGAUAAAAUUUAGGACAUCUUGCCUGGCUGAUUUAUGUCACUUUCCACAGAAGAAAAACUGAUUUCCAGUUUAGGUGCAUAGCUUCAAAUAACAAGCAUUUGCACUCAAAAUUCCACACAAAUGUCAACUUGUGAUCUACAAGGAAGAGACACUGGGUUCUCUCACAGUCUAAACAUGAUAUUUUGGCCUUUCAUACAUAGGUGUACUUUACCUUGAACCUAUUGAAAGUCUGUUCUGUUUAAAUAUCUGUUCACCACCUUUCCCAAAAAUCUUACAGUACCUAGUUUUAUUACUUUAGUUGCCCCACAGGCAUGGUUGACCUUACUGUAACAAGUCAAUGCAAUUUUAUUAGAUUAUGGGGUUGUCCUAUGUACUCAUAGACUAGCUGGAUUAAGUCACAGAAUUUCUCUGUCUAGCUCUUUUCCCCAUAGUAAAUACAACUGGUAAAAAUAUCUAAUAUGCCUAGAAUCCCCAGAAGUGAAUCACAUUUUCUGAUUUUGAAAAAUUGAUUCCUAUAUACAAUACAAUACAGGGAAGGCGAGAAGAAAGGUCUCAACACUUCUAGUCCCUUCUUUCCUAACUUGCUUUAGUAAUCUAUUUGUGAAAUCUCUCCCUGGAAGGAAACUAGAACAAAUACUACUGAAAGCCUAAAUGAGAAGAAUGGCAAUCACUGUGCCUUCUUUCACAUCCUUCAGUGAUUAUACAAGAUAUAAAAAUUGUAAUGUCCAUAAUAAUUUGUAUUCUAUUUUAUUUUAAAAUGUGUUUCUUUUUUUUUUUUAAGCCAGACAAAGUUGUUCACACCUGUAAUCCCAGCACUUUGGGAGGCUGAGGCCGGUGUAUCUCAAAUGAGACCAGCCAGGCCAACAUGGUGAAAGCCCAGCUUUACUAAAAAUACAAAAAAUUUUGCCAGGUCUGGCGGCAUAUGCCUGUAGUCCCAGCUACUCAGGAGGCAGGAGAAUUGACUCCAGGAGGUAGAGGUUGCAGAGAGCCAAGAUCGCGCCAUUGCACUCUAGCGUGGGCCAGAGAAC